UCUUAAUGGAUAUGCCUGGAAACAUUCACUGUUGCAAAACUUCUUGAGAAGUGCUCAUUUUGCUUUGUGUCUAGGUGCCCGUCAACAUGAGUCCACUUGAAUGUUUUCAGAGAACUCUGAGCUGCAUGUGUGCCUAGCCCCAGCACAGCUCAGGGUGCUAGGCGGCCUGCACGCUAGAUUGUGCAAGUGGGUGUCCUGCCCAUCUGGGCCCCUGAAAUGGAUGGAUGAAUGGAUGACUUUGUGCGACAGCAUCCACCAGAACUCAUAUUGAGGGGUUCCUGAGAUACCAACCUGUGUGCCCAGCCUUGUAUGUGUUGGGAUUAUAGUCCUGCACCCCAACAACCAGCUCUAGCUGAAGAUGUUUCUGAUUGCCACAUCUGAAUGCAGAGAAGAUGCUCCUGGCAUUCAGUGGAUUGAGGUCAAGGAUACCAAGAAAUCUCCAACAGCACACCUGACACACCCUUGCUCCACCUGGCAACACAUACUGCUGGACCUCAACAUGGAGAGGUGUCAUCAGGAUGACUGUCUCCUAUGCUAGGAACAGUUUGAUCCUGAACCAAGACCUGAUUGGCAGUGAUUUUUGCAAUGCUAUUCAUCUGCUGCUUUAGAAACUGAAUGAGACAAGGUGCCGAGAGAAGCAAGGCUCCAAUGGCGAGUAUGGGGCCAAGGAGGGGAAGAACCCAGGCUACCAAUGGGUUAGAGUACCAAGGGGAAGGGGUGCUGGGAGUAUAGCGUGCCUGGAGGUUUCCCCGGAGUUCUUUGAGGGUUUGCAUAUCUUGUUCCACCAGCCCAGAUUCGUUGGCAUAAAAGCAAUAUUCCUCCCCCAGCAAAACACAAGUCCCUCCCUGGUCAGCAGUCAGUAAGUCCAGAGCUCUCCCGUUUUGGAGAGCGAUUCCUGCUAAGGAGGUUAUCUGGCAUUGAAGAGAUGCAAGACUGUCUGUAGUGGAAGCCAUUGCCUGGUCAAGCGACAAGCCAGAUGUUGCGCUUGAGCAAGGACUGCUUCUCCAGCAGUUCCUGCCGCGCCCAGUGAGACGGCAAGGCCUAGUCCAAUGAGCAGAGCGAUGAAGAUCUCUCUCUUCUUUUGGCUUCCUCCCAUCAGCAAG